rnacentral:rRNA from 1 species
GACGAACGCUGGCGGCGUGCUUAACACAUGCAAGUCGAACGGAAAGGCCCUGCUUUUGUGGGGUGCUCGAGUGGCGAACGGGUGAGUAACACGUGAGUAACCUGCCCUUGACUUUGGGAUAACUUCAGGAAACUGGGGCUAAUACCGGAUAGGAGCUCCUGCUGCAUGGUGGGGGUUGGAAAGUUUCGGCGGUUGGGGAUGGACUCGCGGCUUAUCAGCUUGUUGGUGGGGUAGUGGCUUACCAAGGCUUUGACGGGUAGCCGGCCUGAGAGGGUGACCGGCCACCUUGGGACUGAGAUACGGCCCAGACUCCUACGGGAGGCAACAGUGGGGAAUAUUGCACAAUGGGCGGAAGCCUGAUGCAGCAACGCCGCGUGCGGGAUGACGGCCUUCGGGUUGUAAACCGCUUUCGCCUGUGACGAAGCGUGAGUGACGGUAAUGGGUAAAGAAGCACCGGCUAACUACGUG